CUCUCAUAAUUCCCAAUCCCUCUUCUCACGCGGCGACGCCGACUCCGGCUCGGACGAAAACGCGAAGGAGUUUAGGGCAUCCCUCCGACGGCCGACGAAGGCUUCCUUCCGACGAACCUUGCUGAUUACAAGAUCUUCUCGCCGAGGAGAAGCUGUGAGCACAAGAAAGGGACCGAGAUUUUCAUCUCUCCGAACCCUAGAGUUCUUCCCGUCGGUUGUAAGUUCAAGCAAAUCACGAUAAAGGAAAAGCUAAAGUAUGAGGAAGAAGGCGACAAGGAGAUGCUGUGACGGUGUGUGAUGUGUGGACUAUGGAGAUCCUUGAGACUUAGCUUAGAAAAAUUUAUUAAAAUUGCUUCCGUCGAAUUGUUAAAAGAAUUUAGAACUUGUAUAUGCUAUUUUCAUUGAUAGAGUUAUUUAUUUCA